rnacentral:lncRNA from 1 species
GCACCCCCUGACGACGUCUACAUCAGACAAGUCAAACGAUAAGAAAGGUUCGGCAGACGACAAUAUUAGUGCAACGCACAGACGAGGUAACACAAAACGCUCUUUUUAUUCCAUUUUCGAUAUACACACUACAAAGCCAGGAAGGCCAAGGAAAGAAGGGCAAAACGACAAAAAGGAAGUAACUACAUGACAAGACAGAAAGACAAAAAGAGCUCUAAGAAGGCCCUGCUCCCUCCGACCUAGAGUUAUCUAUUCCGUUCCUC